rnacentral:lncRNA from 1 species
CCCCCUUGUUGCAUGGCAUGGCGAUGUCCACAUAGCGCAGAGGAGAAUCUGUUACACGGAGCAGUGGGCGGCACAUUGACGUAAGACACCCCCGUGAGGGGCUGGUGGUCAGCCCUGGGAUCCGUCACCACCGGAAGACGCGGCUCUCGGAGGGCUGCCUGGAUCCGGUCAGUGAAGGUCCCGGGAGUGAAGCAGCCCGCGAUAGGAGCAGCUCCAGUGGCAGCGGCAACUCCGGCACAGCCCGAUGGUGGUGUUCCUAGAGGCUAUGACGCUGGCACCAGCAGGGUUUUCAGUGGCGACCAUGGCUCAUGCAGCAGCGGGAGUUUUUCCAGGUGCGCUUCAGAUUUAUGAUGUAGGUUCCAUCACUUUCCUUCUGUAAAUGAACUGUUCCAUCUGGAAAUCCAGGUCGGUGCCACCGAAGUGGGCUCCUGCGGCGAGGAAUUUGAGGACCUCCUCCUCCUCCAUUUGCAGGACAUCAAGGACUCCGGACGUUGUGAAAGUUUCCCUUUAAGUUACGAUGGGAAUCACGAACAACGCCAUCCGGACCCCUGCCUUGUCCUGACAUGGACGUUUCUCUCGCAGGUGCCCUGGCAGAGUCCCCAGAGCACAGCUUUAUAAUCAAGCAGCUUCAGCUCCACCACGACCCAUUUGUUAGCUGCGCGACCUUCACAACUAACGCAGCGCCGGCACCCUGUCCUCAUCUGGGAAGCAGGUUAAUGACUGCUGUGGGGACCAAAUAACCCUCUGCCUGUGCUUUAGAUGCACACAGAAUGCCGAGCACGCAGCAAGCCCGCUUCUCGUUCCUCCACACCGUCCCCAUUCUCUGUCCCCGGGGCAGCAGCCCUCAUGCACUCGAGCAGGACCCCAUCUGCCCCUGCAUCUCCGUGUGCAGCUCUUGCGAGGCCAGACGGCCACACACGGAUCAUCCUUCUGCCCGGAGGAGGAUUCUCAGUGGGACACAAGAUCACCUGAUCCAGAAGCUCCCAGUUCCCUCAAGUGGCCAAAGCAGGCCCCUGGGCCAGAUGCCAGUUACAGACAUCCCAGGGAAGAAUAGCCAGACCGAGUUCCACCAUGAGAGUCCUACAGGAAGCGGAGAGCUGAUCCUUGGAGCUGCCCUUAUGUGUCAGUCUGGCCCGAAAAGAGCAGGUGGAUCCUGGGAGACGUCACAGCGCAGCGCCAGGGGCAGCUGUGUGCCAGGCACAGUGCAGCCCUCGCCGCACACAGCCACUGACCUGCAGGAGUAGUGACACUCGCCUUUCUUCCUCUCAUCCAGACGGCCCUCACCUUGGUCAGCAUCUGGGACACAGACGAGAUGCUAGGUGUGGAACAGGAGCGUGUUCUGGGACAGGACUGUGAUCUGGAUGAAGUGAGGUGACUCAGGCCAAGCUGUUCAGCAUCUCCAGGUGCGGCUGCCUGACUGUAGCAUGGAGACAGUAACAUGACCUGUUACAGACUGUCGGGGGCAUUACGUGAGCCAAUACUUGAAAAUGCUGAGAAUAACCAGCACAGCAAGCAACUAAAACAGGAUGAGAGAGGCCUACGGCACUUAACACAUUUGCUUCUCAAGCUGGAUCUAGUCCCUGCUUGGCUGACAAUUGUGAAGUUAAACAUCUGGAAAACAGUAAAAUGUGCCAGAGCCGAGGAGGGCUUUCCUACAUGUAUCUCAGGGUGACCCCUCCACACCGUCCCAAGUGACCUGGCUUUCACCUGUUUCUGGGAGCCCUGAGGUUCUUAUGAGGAGCAGCGCCCGCACAGCAGAGCGGAAGCCUGACAGCCAGCAGCACAGCAGAUGAGGUGAGAAGACAGCGUGCUGUCAACUCAGAAUCUAUAAGGCUGCAGGACACAGGGUUGUGGUCGGCGACCGGCCAGCCGGGCUGCAGCAUCUGGGCCAGGUAGUCGCCGGCAGCCCAGCCCCCACCACGUCAUGAGCCGAGGUGAACAGAUGGGGCCUGGAUCAGUGAGAUGCAGGUCCAUGCUCACCUGGGAAGGGCAGAGAGAGGAACCUGGGACCAGACCCCAACACAAAUCCACAGCCGCAGGGACCUGAAGUGGGAGAGUCUCGCAGACAGGAAGCGGGGCCGUCACUCACUGCAAAGUGAUGACAAGGACCCGGAGGACCUGCAGAGGCCACAGGAAGCGCUCUUGGACUGGGGUGCUCUCCUGUGGUGACGAGGCUCCGUGGCACCCCGACAGCAGGCCCACCUUCACCACUG